rnacentral:rRNA from 1 species
GACGAACGCUGGCGGCGUGCUUAACACAUGCAAGUCGAACGGAAAGGCCCUGCUUUUGUUGGGUGCUCGAGUGGCGAACGGGUGAGUAACACGUGAGUAACCUGCCCUUGACUUUGGGAUAACUUCAGGAAACUGGGGCUAAUACCGGAUACGAGCUCCUGCUGCAUGGUGGGGGUUGGAAAGUUUCGGCGGUUGGGGAUGGACUCGCCGCUUAUCAGCUUGUUGGUGGGGUAGUGGCUUACCAAGGCUUUGACGGGUAGCCGGCCUGAGAGGGUGACCGGCCGCAUUGGGACUGAGAUACGGCACAGACUCCUACGGAAGGCAGCAGUGGGGAACAUUGCACAAUGGGCCGAAGCCUGAUGCAGCAACCCCGCGUGCGGGAUGACGGCCUUCCGGUUGUGAACCGCUUUCGCCUGUGACGAAGCGUGAGUGACGGUAAUGGGUAAAGAAGCACCGGCUAACUACGUG